rnacentral:rRNA from 1 species
UGGGGAAUAUUGCACAAUGGGCGAAAGCCUGAUGCAGCGACGCCGCGUGAGGGAUGACGGCCUUCGGGUUGUAAACCUCUUUCAGCAGGGACGAAGCGCAAGUGACGGUACCUGCAGAAGAAGCACCGGCUAACCACGUGCCAGCAGCCGCGGUAAUACGUAGGGUGCAAGCGUUGUCCGGAAUUACUGGGCGUAAAGAGUUCGUAGGCGGUUUGUCGCGUCGUUUGUGAAAUCCAGCAGCUCAACUGCUGGCUUGCAGGCGAUACGGGCAGACUUGAGUACUGCAGGGGAGACUGGAAUUCCUGGUGUAGCGGUGAAAUGCGCAGAUAUCAGGAGGAACACCGGUGGCGAAGGCGGGUCUCUGGGCAGUAACUGACGCUGAGGAACGAAAGCGUGGGUAGCGAACAGG